GCGCACGCUGGCGGCAGGCCUAACACCUGCAAGUCGAACGAACUCUUCGGAGUUAGUGGCGGACGGGUGAGUAACACGUGGGAACGUGCCUUUUGGUUCGGAAUAACUCAGGGAAACCUGUGCUAAUACCGAAUGUGCCCUUCGGGGGAAAGAUUUAUCGCCAUUAGAGCGGCCCGCGUCUGAUUAGCUAGUUGGUGAGGUAACGGCUCACCAAGGCGACGAUCAGUAGCUGGUCUGAGAGGAUGACCAGCCACACUGGGACUGAGACACGGCCCAGACUCCUACGGGAGGCAGCAGUGGGGAAUCUUGCGCAAUGGGCGAAAGCCUGACGCAGCCAUGCCGCGUGAAUGAUGAAGGUCUUAGGAUUGUAAAAUUCUUUCACCGGGGACGAUAAUGACGGUACCCGGAGAAGAAGCCCCGGCUAACUUCGUG
rnacentral:rRNA from 1 species